ACGCUGGCGGCGUGCCUAAUACAUGCAAGUCGAACGAACUCUGGUAUUGAUUGGUGCUUGCAUCAUGAUUUACAUUUGAGUGAGUGGCGAACUGGUGAGUAACACGUGGGAAACCUGCCCAGAAGCGGGGGAUAACACCUGGAAACAGAUGCUAAUACCGCAUAACAACUUGGACCGCAUGGUCCGAGUUUGAAAGAUGGCUUCGGCUAUCACUUUUGGAUGGUCCCGCGGCGUAUUAGCUAGAUGGUGAGGUAACGGCUCACCAUGGCAAUGAUACGUAGCCGACCUGAGAGGGUAAUCGGCCACAUUGGGACUGAGACACGGCCCAAACUCCUACGGGAGGCAGCAGUAGGGAAUCUUCCACAAUGGACGAAAGUCUGAUGGAGCAACGCCGCGUGAGUGAAGAAGGGUUUCGGCUCGUAAAACUCUGUUGUUAAAGAAGAACAUAUCUGAGAGUAACUGUUCAGGUAUUGACGGUAUUUAACCAGAAAGCCACGGCUAACUACGUGCCAGCAGCCGCGGUAAUACGUAGGUGGCAAGCGUUGUCCGGAUUUAUUGGGCGUAAAGCGAGCGCAGGCGGUUUUUUAAGUCUGAUGUGAAAGCCUUCGGCUCAACCGAAGAAGUGCAUCGGAAACUGGGAAACUUGAGUGCAGAAGAGGACAGUGGAACUCCAUGUGUAGCGGUGAAAUGCGUAGAUAUAUGGAAGAACACCAGUGGCGAAGGCGGCUGUCUGGUCUGUAACUGACGCUGAGGCUCGAAAGUAUGGGUAGCAAACAGGAUUAGAUACCCUGGUAGUCCAUACCGUAAACGAUGAAUGCUAAGUGUUGGAGGGUUUCCGCCCUUCAGUGCUGCAGCUAACGCAUUAAGCAUUCCGCCUGGGGAGUACGGCCGCAAGGCUGAAACUCAAAGGAAUUGACGGGGGCCCGCACAAGCGGUGGAGCAUGUGGUUUAAUUCGAAGCUACGCGAAGAACCUUACCAGGUCUUGACAUACUAUGCAAAUCUAAGAGAUUAGACGUUCCCUUCGGGGACAUGGAUACAGGUGGUGCAUGGUUGUCGUCAGCUCGUGUCGUGAGAUGUUGGGUUAAGUCCCGCAACGAGCGCAACCCUUAUUAUCAGUUGCCAGCAUUAAGUUGGGCACUCUGGUGAGACUGCCGGUGACAAACCGGAGGAAGGUGGGGAUGACGUCAAAUCAUCAUGCCCCUUAUGACCUGGGCUACACACGUGCUACAAUGGAUGGUACAACGAGUUGCGAACUCGCGAGAGUAAGCUAAUCUCUUAAAGCCAUUCUCAGUUCGGAUUGUAGGCUGCAACUCGCCUACAUGAAGUCGGAAUCGCUAGUAAUCGCGGAUCAGCAUGCCGCGGUGAAUACGUUCCCGGGCCUUGUACACACCGCCCGUCACACCAUGAGAGUUUGUAACACCCAAAGUCGGUGGGGUAACCUUUUAGGAACCAGCCGCCUAAGGUGGGACAGAUGAUUAGGGUG
rnacentral:rRNA from 2 species